rnacentral:rRNA from 1 species
UACGUAGGGUGCAAGCGUUGUCCGGAAUUAUUGGGCGUAAAGAGCUCGUAGGCGGUUCGUCGCGUCGGCUGUGAAAUCCCGAGGCUCAACCUCGGGUCUGCAGUCGAUACGGGCGGACUGGAGUUCGGCAGGGGAGACUGGAAUUCCUGGUGUAGCGGUGAAAUGCGCAGAUAUCAGGAGGAACACCGGUGGCGAAGGCGGGUCUCUGGGCCGAUACUGACGCUGAGGAGUGAAAGCGUGGGGAGCGAACCGG